rnacentral:rRNA from 1 species
CUCUGUUAUAGGUAUCGUGGUGUUGUCCAGAGAUAUGGCAUGGGUUGUCUCUUAGAGUUUGUUAGGACCGAGGUGCCCCUCAGGUUAGUGAAGUGGCUUGCCAGUAGGUUCGAUGUCCCUUCAUCUGAAUUCCAGCUCAAAAGGAAAUUUAUCCCAAUGACCAAGUAUGAUAUUCAUGACAUCCUUGACCUUCCAGUAGAUGGUGAGCCACUUGUGUGUGAUCCUGAUUCUGGCCGUGAUUUUAUCCUCUCUCACUUCAACGUGACCAGUAUUCCUCCCGUGUCCUUCUUUGCAAACAAGCUAAAAUCAACUGAAGUCGAGUUGCCUGUUGAAGAUGUCUUUAUUUGUUUCAUGGUUGUUGCUUUCUCAUCGUUCCUUUGUCCCAACUCUAGCCUCAGUCCUAGCCCAAAGUACCUUCAUAUCUUCAGGGAUUGUCCUUCUGUGCGUAACUAUGAUCUGUCGAGAUUUGUUUAUGAGUGGCUGUUGAGUUGCAUAAAAAAGUUCAAGGAUUCCACUAAAGUUGCUUCCAAAAGAUCAGUGACGUUUGGCGGUUGUCACUACGCUUUUGCUGUUUGUUACCUUGACCAACUUAAUUUUGGUCUUCACUCUGUCCCUGAUGUCAAGCCUCGGAUCCUAGCAUGGAGAGGUAACAAAGUUAAGCAAUUUUCAGAGCUUGAUAGAAACAAUAGCCGCUCUUUUGGUAAGAGGCCUCUGAAGCAAUUGUGUCCUUCAGUUCAUCCGCAGCGGUCUAUUGAGAAAUCUUCAGCUAGCAAGGAUGGUGAUGUUCCCCUUUGCAACAUCAAGCUUUUCAAAAUGAAUGUGCAGAAAUCAUUUAGUGCUCGUUUUGGGUCAGAGGUU